rnacentral:rRNA from 1 species
GACGUAGGUUCCGAGCGUUAUCCGGAUUUACUGGGCGUAAAGCGCGUUCAGGCGGUUUGGCAAGUCGGGCAUGAAAUCUCUCGGCUCAACCGGGAGAGGUUGUCCGAUACUGCUGGACUUGAGGGCAGUAGAGGGUGGUGGAAUUCCGGGUGUAGUGGUGAAAUGCGUAGGUAUCCGGAGGAACACCAGUGGCGAAAGCGGCCACCUGGACUGCACCUGACGCUGACACGCGAAAGCUAGGGGAGCGAACGGG